GCCUAGCCCUAAACAUUGAUAGUAAAAUACACCCCACUAUCCGCCCGGGUACUACGAGCACCAGCUUAAAACCCAAAGGACUUGGCGGUGCUUUAGAUCCACCUAGAGGAGCCUGUCCUAUAACCGAUAAACCCCGUUAAACCUCACCCUUUAUUGUUCAUACCGCCUAUAUACCGCCGUCGUAAGCUUACCCUGUGAGGGUCUAAUAGUAAGCAAAAUUGGCACAACCCAGAACGUCAGGUCGACGUGUAGCGAAUGAAAGGGGAAGAGAUGGGCUACAUUCACUAAAACAGUGAACACGGACGAUAUGCUGAAAUGCAUAUCCUGAAGGAGGAUUUAGUAGUAAGCAGGAAAUAGAGAGUCCCGCUGAAACUGGCCCUGAAGCGCGC
rnacentral:rRNA from 1 species